GACGAACGCUGGCGGCGUGCCUAAUACAUGCAAGUCGAGCGAAGUUUUUCUGGUGCUUGCACUAGAAAAACUUAGCGGCGAACGGGUGAGUAACACGUAAAGAACCUGCCUCAUAGACUGGGACAACUAUUGGAAACGAUAGCUAAUACCGGAUAACAGUAUUUCUCGCAUGAGAGAUAUUUAAAAGUUGGUUAUGCUAACACUAUGAGAUGGCUUUGCGGUGCAUUAGCUUGUUGGUGGGGUAAAGGCCCACCAAGGCGACGAUGCAUAGCCGACCUGAGAGGGUGAUCGGCCACACUGGGACUGAGACACGGCCCAGACUCCUACGGGAGGCAGCAGUAGGGAAUCUUCCGCAAUGGGCGAAAGCCUGACGGAGCAACGCCGCGUGAGUGAAGAAGGAUUUCGGUUUGUAAAGCUCUGUUGUUAGGGAAGAAUGGAUAUGUAGUAACUAUACAUGUAAGAGACGGUACCUAACCAGAAAGCCACGGCUAACUACGUG
rnacentral:rRNA from 1 species